GACGAACGCUGGCGGCGCGCCUAACACAUGCAAGUCGAACGGAGUCAAGAGGAGCUUGCUUUUCUUGACUUAGUGGCGCACGGGUGAGUAACGCGUGAGUAACCUGCCCUGGAGUGGGGGACAACAGUUGGAAACGACUGCUAAUACCGCAUAAGCCCACGGAACUGCAUGGAUCUGCGGGAAAAGGAUUUAUUCGCUCUAGGAUGGACUCGCGUCCAAUUAGCUAGUUGGUGAGGUAACGGCCCACCAAGGCGACGAUUGGUAGCCGGACUGAGAGGUUGAACGGCCACAUUGGGACUGAGACACGGCCCAGACUCCUACGGGAAGCAGCAGUGGGGGAUAUUGCACAAUGGGGGAAACCCUGAUGCAGCGACGCCGCGUGGAGGAAGAAGGUUUUCGGAUUGUAAACUCCUGUCGUUAGGGACGAUAAUGACGGUACCUAACAAGAAAGCACCAGCUAACUACGUG
rnacentral:rRNA from 1 species